rnacentral:rRNA from 1 species
UACGUAGGGUGCAAGCGUUGUCCGGAAUUAUUGGGCGUAAAGAGCUCGUAGGCGGUCUGUCACGUCGGCUGUGAAAACCCGAGGCUCAACCUCGGGCCUGCAGUCGAUACGGGCAAACUAGAGUGUUGCAGGGGAGACUGGAAUUCCUGGUGUAGCGGUGGAAUGCGCAGAUAUCAGGAGGAACACCGAUGGCGAAGGCAGCUCGCUGGGACGGUACUGACGCUGAGGCGCGAAAGCGUGGGGAGCGAACAGG